AGAAAAAAAGUCUGCUGCUAUUUCUACAGUCAGGGCCUCCCCACAGCCCGCCCUUCCAUAGACGGAGCUUUUUUUUCACUCACUACUAGCUGGAUUUUAACCCUCUGCCUCCAACAGCUCUGCGAAACCUGGCAACAAGUUGCUUUUUAUGGGCCUUUUCGCACUUUUGGCGCAUAGAUUUUGCGUCCCUUUGGAUUUGGGCUCUGUUUCUUCUGUUCUUUUUUAUGUUGUGUUCUUAAAGUGCAUCGCGUCUGCCUUAUUUCUUCCCCGCUGAUGGGUUUCGAGUAGUAUUUAUUUAGUUUCUUUCUCUUCGGAUGGGAAUUUGUCAAGGUGGUGUUUUGCCAUGUGAUGGGCCUUGUUCCACCUGGAGUGUCGGGGCGCCAUUUCUGACGGGUAACCUGCGUGGAGUUGGCUCGUGGUCUGAAUGACCACUACGGAUGACAAGCAUAAAAUGUGAGCAGUAUUUAAGAGCGGUACUCGUCUGUUUUUAAAGACAUGUCCUUCUUCAGCGACUGGCGUGAAGUAUCGCACCUCCUUCGUCUUUACUCCCUGUCUCCUUCUCUUUCCUUCCCAUGUCCUCUCUGUGUCUCCCUCUCGCUCCCUCUUGUUCUCUCUCUUUCACACCGACUCGCUCUCCUAACAGCAGAGUGGUGUGCUGAGCCGGAGCUCUUUCUGGGACAGGUGCCAACUGCAAAGAAAAGACAUUAAAAGGCAAUAAGACAAAAAAAUGUAGUAAUUGCGAAAUGUUUAAUUGUUGCAGCGAAGCGUCCGAAGUAACCCUUCAUGUCGCGUCUCUCCAUAUCCACCUGUGCUAUUAUUGCAUGUUUGUAUAAAGUAUUAAAAGUAAUGUUUGCGACCAAGGCUGCCGGUAUAGCAGAGGUUUGAAUACUUUGCCACACUUAUUCUAGUGAAGGCAUUUCACUCGGGAAGAGGGAGGGAGAAAUGUGGGAGAGCAGCAUAUAGACUGCUGAAUUAUUCAUGUAGCCAGCCAAGGCUGUGACUGGACUGGUUGUACUAUUUGCAUGCAUCAGACAUGCUGUUUGUCUGUUUGCUAACAUUCCUCAUUCAAAGACUUGUUAACUAGCAGACGGGCUAAGCUGGAGCCUUGCAGACAGCCUCAUGGCCUCCUAUUGUUUCAGGCCUCACCAGGCUCGUCCCGGCUGGCUGCAGGGGAUCAGACUGAGGCUGGAGCUGGGGCUCUGGAGCUGGGCUGAGGCUCGGCUGUGAGGGGACAGGCUGUGGGAAAUAUGAAAGAUCCACCAGACGGGAGCUUAUGGCAUUCUCCUCUUCCUUGACAGAGAUGUGGAUCAAAGCGGGGAGAGCUGCAACAUUUCGCAUCCCGACCAGACAUUUCCCAUCUUCAGUGAAGUUCGGCAGUGCGAUGGGUUUUGACUUCAGCCUCAGGCACAAACAAAUGUGGCCAACAAGUGAAAUCACGGACAGACAGACCGGCUAUCGUAGCAGCAUCAAGUAGCAGAUUUUCCCUCUCGGGAUUUCAGAUGGAGGCUACCUGACAUGCUGCUGGAUCCCUGAUGGGAGGAUGUGCUGCGUGCUGCAGAGCAGGUGAGAAACAUUAACAGGGCAGCAGGUCCUCUGCUCCGCACAUGUGAGCCACGAUAUGAGCUAGCUGACUGUCAAUACUAGUCACUGUUGGUAACACUCUCCUCUCUGAAGCACACAAACAGUUCUUAUAACACAGAGGAAUGUGUGCAGGUUGUUGUACGAAACAAACCGGUUUGGUUUGGUAUGUUGUGAGCAGUAAAGCUUAAGAACAGUGUUUCCAAUCCUUUUGGCGUGUGACCCCUUUAAAUCUAAGUAUUUGCUAAUCGCAACCCCAAGCCACAGGUUGCACGUGAGAUGUAUAAAUUGCAAGCAGUUCAACCAAAGAGGGAUUUUUCAACCACAGAUUAUUUAUUAUAAUGUUUUUUUGAUAAGAUCUGAAGUGGAUAAAACUUUAUAUUACUUUGCAUGUUUUCAAUGUCACAGUACCCUCCGAGUUAUUUGCUGGGCUCAUUUGAAUAUGGAAAUAUCCCACCCAUACAAUUUGUUUGGAUCAUAUGCACCUUGUUGCAUCAUUUGAAUUCCCCUGAAGCUGCAGCCCUGAACCGGAUGACCCGGUCGUCACACUGUGUUCUGAACACACUGACUGCAUUCACAGCGGUGAGGAGAGGCCAUGAGUGUUUGUGUUUCAGUGAAUCAUAACCGCUGUUUUGCAUUCAUCGAGGUGUGGCCAAGCGGAUUACCUGCAUGUGCGGGGACCUGACGUGACUUUGUUGUUAAAGACUGUCCUUUGGGGUGAGGUAGUAGGUUGUAUAGUUUUAGGGUCAUACCCUUCCUGUCAGAUAACUAUACAACUUACUGUCUUUCCUGAAGUGGCUGUAAUGUCAUCAGAUGCCUUUGUUGGAGCCUUUGAACCUGGAUCCACCCUGGUAUGAGCAUGUGUACCCGCUGACUGCUGAACACAGAAUUCCCAUGCAGUAUUUAAAAGUCGUAGCUCAUUAAGGAUUGUAGUUAAUGUUUUCUCAAGACAUUAUGGUAAAUAAAAUGUGCUUUUUUUCAGAAGUUACGGUUGUCUGUGUGCAAAUAAACAAUGCAAAAUAAAUAUGUAUUUACAUUUUCUCACACUGUAGUGUUGUAACUUUUACACAAACCUGCUCUUAUCUAGGUGUCUUCCUCUUUCCCCGAUAAUGUAAUGUUUUAAAAAUGAAAACUCAACUUGGUCAUUGCCUCUCAUUGUACAUUAAGUUGCUUUAUAUAUCAAGUGUGUGAGAUGUACCUGGAUUUUUGUAUGUACUAUAAGAAAACGUACAGUGUUUACAUGUGCCUCCACAUCAUGGCUCUCCAGUGGAAGUUGGACCAACACUUGGCAGUCUGCGGCACCUUUCUGAUGUUCGAACAGGGUGAGGUAGUAGGUUGUGUGGUUUCAGGGUAGUGAUUUUGCCCAAUAAGGAGAUAACUGUACAACCUACCGCCUUCCCUGAAGGGCAGCAAUACUUCACCAUACAGUCUACAGAGAGAGGCUUGUUCACAGCUGCAGAAAAACACUGACCCAGCAAUCAAGCAGGAAUGGUAAGCAGGUAAAGUCUGAUCACUAUGACAUUUGUAUUUGUGUUGUUUUUUGCUGCUUCAAAUAUUAAUAAAGCAUAACAUAAUGAA